rnacentral:rRNA from 1 species
UACGAAGGGGGCUAGCGUUGUUCGGAAUUACUGGGCGUAAAGCGCGCGUAGGCUGCUUAGCAAGUCAGUGGUGAAAUCCCGGAGCUUAACUUCGGAACUGCCAUUGAAACUGCUAAGCUAGAAUCUCAGAGGGGAUAGCGGAAUUCCAAAUGUAGGGGUGAAAUCCGUAGAUAUUUGGAGGAACACCGGUGGCGAAGGCGGCUAUCUGGAUGAGUAUUGACGCUGAGGCGCGAAAGCGUGGGGAUCAAACAGG